GCGUAGGUGAACUGCGGAAGGAUCAUUACCGAGUGUAGGGUUCCUAGCGAGCCCAACCUCCCACCCGUGUUUACUGUACCUUAGUUGCUUCGGCGGGCCCGCCAUUCAUGGCCGCCGGGGGCUCUCAGCCCCGGGCCCGCGCCCGCCGGAGACACCACGAACUCUGUCUGAUCUAGUGAAGUCUGAGUUGAUUGUAUCGCAAUCAGUUAAAACUUUCAACAAUGGAUCUCUUGGUUCCGGCAUCGAUGAAGAACGCAGCGAAAUGCGAUAACUAGUGUGAAUUGCAGAAUUCCGUGAAUCAUCGAGUCUUUGAACGCACAUUGCGCCCCCUGGUAUUCCGGGGGGCAUGCCUGUCCGAGCGUCAUUGCUGCCCAUCAAGCACGGCUUGUGUGUUGGGUCGUCGUCCCCUCUCCGGGGGGGACGGGCCCCAAAGGCAGCGGCGGCACCGCGUCCGAUCCUCGAGCGUAUGGGGCUUUGUCACCCGCUCUGUAGGCCCGGCCGGCGCUUGCCGAACGCAAAUCAAUCUUUUCCAGGUUGACCUCGGAUCAGGUAGGGAUACCCGCUGAAC
rnacentral:rRNA from 1 species